GGAAACAGAUGCUAAUACCGGAUAACAACAGAUGAUGCCUAUCAACUGUUUAAAAGAUGGUUCUGCUAUCACUCUUGGAUGGACCUGCGGUGCAUUAGCUAGUUGGUAGGGUAACGGCCUACCAAGGCGAUGAUGCAUAGCGAGUUGAGAGACUGAUCGGCCACAUUGGGACUGAGACACGGCCCAAACUCCUACGGGAGGCAGCAGCG
rnacentral:rRNA from 1 species